rnacentral:rRNA from 1 species
UACGGAGGAUGCAAGCGUUAUCCGGACUGAUUGGGCGUAAAGGGUCCGCAGGUGGCAGUGUAAGUCUGCUGUCAAAGAAUGAGGCUUAACCUUAUCAAGGCAGUGGAAACUACACAGCUAGAGUACGGUCGGGGUAGAAGGAAUUCCUGGUGUAGCGGUGAAAUGCGUAGAGAUCAGGAAGAACACCGGUGGCGAAAGCGUUCUGCUAGACCUGUACUGACACUGAGGGACGAAAGCUAGGGGAGCGAAUGGG